GAGUGGUGGCUGCGGUGGCUAUGCUCGCUGGCGGCAGGACCCGAGCGCUCGCUGGGUGCCCUUUCCCGAGGCCCCCGCAGGCUGCUGCGGGUUGUGUGGUCCGACUCGCUGCCGCUGCCGCCCGACUUCGAGUCCCCCGCCUUCGGGUCCUUCUCCUUCCGCCGGUCACUGCCGCUACGGUUGGAGCCACUGCUCCGGCUGCCUAUAGGCGACAGGCAGGCCCCCAGCGGGGCAUGUUCAGAGCUUGCAGAAGCAGUUUGGGGCUGUGCACCACCCUCCACCCCCUCCACCUUACCUUCACUGUGCUGACUGCUGGCGCUGCCCCCACCAUAGCUGUACCCCAGUUCUGGGAAGCCUGGGUGUGGGUUGUAGGGGUGUGGGGGUGGCGGGUACUGGUAAGGGAAGGCCAUGGGCCACGGCGCAGCCCCAGGGUGUGGCAAAGGGGCCAGAGUGUCCUGGUCAGAGGCUCCGCUGGAACCGUCGUGAUCAUGGAGGGACAAGUUGGCCAUGUCUGUGGAGGGGAGGGGAGGCCCAGAUGAGUUGGGUCUGUGCCCUGCCCCCACACCCCUAGGUCAGGAGAGAGAGGUCCCCAGUCUAGGUCGGUACAUUUACUAUGACACCUAACAGCAGUGGAAGUUUAUUCCCUAAAUGAGAGGAGGCAGAGGUCAGAGAUCUCUCACUUCUUCAGACCCACCCUGUGCCACCCACCGGAGAUGGUGGAGAGGGAGACUGCAGACACAACACCAAGAAACACCUUCCUCAGGAAGGCCCUGAGUCCCCACCCCACUUCAGAUGCUCCAGGCAGAAUCCUGACACCCCACUCCCAGUCCCAGGGAGGCCCCCUUCCAAGUAUUUGACAGUUUCCUCUCCUUCCUCAGUAAACUAGAUGGGCAAUGUUCUCUUCUGUUCACUUAAGGGAAUAUGAGAAACUGAAAUAGCAGACAGGUAUUGCAAACCUGCAAGUCAUUGGGCAUAAUACAAAGCGCUUCAACUCAUGCAAAUGUUACCACCAUCCUAUGAAGAGGGAAUUAGUCACAUUUUUUCCAGGUGAGGAAAGUGAAGUCCAGAGAGGUUAAAUGACCCACCUGAGGUCAAUCCAAAUUGUAGCCAGAGCAGAAGCUAGGAGUUGCUUACUUUCGUCUUACCUUUCCAGGUGAGUCAUUAGUAAGAAGUAGGGAGCAGUUUGGGGAAAUUUAGGUGAAAUUUUGCCCUCACCCUUCACCUAGGGCUAAAAAAAAAAAAUACCCAUUAUAGGCCAAAACAAACAGGCCUUUCAGAGCCUCCCCAUACAAAAGAAAGCCCUUGGCUCAGAUCGAUUUUCUGGUGCUGCUGUGGAAGGUGGAAAGGGAUCCGAAAGAGAACAACUUAGGUGCCUCCUCUGUGUCCUCCACUCCAUUCCCAGCCAGGCCUCAUUCUUGACAGCACUCAUCUCAGGGUAUUAACAUUACUUGUUUCAUGUCUCUUGCUCCCACAGUAAACUGUGCAGUCCUUAAAGGCAAGGCUGCCCCGACCAAUAUUGGAAUUACCUAAAAGGGGAUACAAGGGGCCACCAAAGAGAUUACCUGGCUGGGACACCCCUUGCUCACACCUCAUCAUACCAGGUCCCAGAGCUCUGAGAGAGCUAGAGUUGCCCUCCAGGCCAGGUGCUGGAUACAGAUGGAGCCCUUCGUUCCAAGUCCUUAAAUAAGCCAGCCCAACCUUCCAGAGGAGAAGAGGUCAGGAGAGGUGGUCUGUGGAAUCUACCGGCCAAGCCAUCAACAUGUUAAGGCCUGCAGCUAGCAGGGUGUAGUGGUGGUGAGAAGCAGGGGCCUGCCCUGGCUCAUGCCCCAAGAGCUGGUGACUAUUUCAGCCUCCAGGCUAUUGUCCUGAAGGGAGUGACUGUGGGUUCCUGGGGAUUCCAGAUCUCCAGCUCUUUCCUUUGAGCCUGCCACAUUCCCAGCUGAGGAGACCCUGGCCAGUGAGAAGCAAAAGACCUGUCAGCAUAUCUCUAACCUGGGCUUCUGGGGGCCUUGGCCAUGGGUAGAAGACCCAAGAGGCUCCAGGGAUAGAACAACAUCUCUUAAGCAAAAAUCACAGCUGUCUUGAGAAGCUAUAGGGAUCCUCGGAGGUUCAGGGCCAGGGCUGACUUAUUCUAAUGAUGAUAAUAAUAACCACACAGGAUAGAGUAAGAAGCCAUUAAUUAUAAGAUGCACCCCAAUUUCAGAGAUACUGAAAUGUGAAAGAAAUGUUCAUCUUAGAAUCAAUUAAGUUUAUGAAUAAUGGAGAACAUUUUAGAGCACUUACUGUGGGCCGAACAUGGUGCUCAAAGCAUUAUACAAGGUCUUAACCUCUAAACAGCUCUGAGAGUUUCUAGUAUUACCUCCAACUUACAGAUCAAGAAAUUAAGGGAAUGAGAGGCUGUCACUUACUCAUGUUCACAGUGAGAGCAAAGCUAGGAUUUGAACUCAGACCUGUCCAACUUCAAAACCCUAUGCACCUAUCACCCUCCAUCAUGAACUUAUGCCCUGCAGCAAUAGCCUUUCUAGUCUUAGAUCCUAAUCUGAAGCAUUUUAAAAGUUAGUUUUUGGACUUUAGCCAGUAAGCACCACUGGACUAACCAAAGACUCCCUGAGGUAGAGGCGGCUGCUGGGAGUGGGCCUCUGCUCCCAGCCCUGAGCAAUGUUGUUCUGUUUUGAGGACUCCCCUUCCUUCCCAAGGGCUAUCUACAUGCUCAGGAAAAGAGGGGGUUCCCUGCACACCUUUACUCCUUAAAAGCCCUCAUUAGCUUUGCACUCUCUCGAGAUCAAGCCCAAACUGCUCGAUGCAGCUUGCAGAGUCCCUCUAUAAGAUGGCCCUGACAGUUUCUCCAGUUUCAUCCCAAGGCCUGGCCCACCCUCAAGGGUCUGAGAAGGCUGGGGACCUGGGGCCUCAGGCCAGCCCCAGGUCUGGCCUUGGUGGAACCUGCUUGGUGCUGGGAGGGUGAUCAGGGGCCAACCAUAGGACCUUUGUUUGACUCUGCUAGGACAAUGCUUCGGCAACACCACACACCUACACAGCUCCAGAUGGUAGUAAGUAAAAGGGCUCUAGAGCCAGAAAGACCUGGACCCAAGGCCUAACUCCUCUGCAUCUGGCUGUGAGAAUGGGUGGACUAUUGAACUUCUCGAAGUCUCAGUUUCCUCAGCUGAAAUAGGGAUAGUGAUCCAUCUCCCUGAAGGUGAGGAGGCGGGGGUUGUGAGUACUGAGUGAGAGCAACAUGACGCUUAGAAAUAACCUGCAUGGUGCCAAAAACAGAGGAGGCACUUUGAAAAUGCCCACCCCAAGAUGGGGACACAGAGCAGGUGAAAAGGCCCAACUGGGCUCUGCUUCUACUAGAGAAGGAAGCCUGGGUCAGCGCUCAAGCUGGGCCCCCAGCUUGGCUGCCCACUCCUGCUUCCCAUGGGUGUCUGGGGGUCUGCUGCCACAUCCCUGGGCACCUCCCCACUCCCAGCCAGGAGACGAGCAAGGAGGUCAGGGAGGCACAUACUGCCACAGAGGUCACCGAAGAUGUAGUAGCACUGCUCAGAGAAGGUGAUCUUGUUGACAGUGUGGCGGAUGAAGCCGGCUUUUAGCAGGUUGCUGGCAUACUUGCGGGCCUCUCGCCGGUCAGUGAAGCCUUCCACGUUGUGGUAUAGCCAGUCCACCACAUCCGAGCCUAGGGGCAAGGCCGCCACUUGAAUGGGAGGCCCACCUGACUUGGGCUCAUCUGACCUCACAGAAGCCACAAGGCUGGGGCUGGUUCCAGCUCAAAGAAGUGGACCAAGGGAGAUCUUCAGCCCCCAGCCUGCCCUUCCCAACACUCCCCACCCUGCCCUUCAUCCCACCAUGGGGCCCUCUCACCGAUGAAAGCAUUGGGGAUGGUAAUCUUGAGCCACAUGCGGUCACGGACCUCCAGCCCAGAUUCAGGGGAGGCCAUGGCUUUUACAAUGGCAGCCAUGUCACUGUGGAUGGACAGGUGGAAGUCAUCUAGGCCUGGGGGUGGGAGGCAGAAUGGUGAGGCAGAAAGGAGCUACAGAGUUAGGUAGAGAAGAGUCUGCAUUGCAGUUCUACCACCCAAAAAUCAUGGACCAAUGUUGAACGCACAUUACUGACUUCUAGGACACUUAGUUUCCUCUUUUGUAAAAAUAGGGACUUUAAUAUUUAUUUUGCAAGGAUUUUUUUUUUUUUUUAAGUAGGCUCUAUGCCCAAUGUGGAGCCUGACACAGGGCUUGAAUUCACAACCCUGAGAUCAAGACCUGAGCUGAGGUCAAGAGUCCAAUGCUUAACCAACUGAGCCACCUAGGCACCCCAUAUUUUGCAAGGAUAUUUGAAGAGAGAACUAAAUAAUGAAACAUUAUCUUGUGUUUCGCUGAGCUCCUGCCUGGUGUCUGGCAUACAGCAGGAGCUCAAGAGUAUUAUUUCACCAGACUCACCCAUGUUGAGAGUGACUGUGAUGAUGUUGAGUGACAUGGUAGAGUCCGUGAUGCUGCUGAAGGAUGAGGACUGGAAUAGACAGAGGCCCCAUCUGUCGCAGUGACCGCUGGGGUGGCAAGAACUCACUGCUCCCAACUAGCUCCUCCUCGAGCCCACCACAGGAACGCAAGAAGAGAGAGGGCUAAGGAGGGCUCCUUACCCAGGACACCACCCGGCCAUUGAAGCAGGGCAGCUUGGCAUUGUCGUCAGAAAUCUCCUCCUUCACCACUCUGCAGGGAAAGGGUGGGGGUGUCAGAAUGAGCUUUCUGGGGUAGAAAUGGAAGUGUCAUCACAAUCCUAACUCAGGGGCUCCUUUCUCCACCCUAAACUGGGAAUCAUGCCACUAACCUAAGCCUAUUCAAGUGGGAGCAGAAGUGGGGAACACUUAGGGACAGCUCUUUAGCACCACCAGGAAGACAACAGCCCUGUCCAGGCCAUGUGUCAUCCUAGGGUGUCCUCUCAGUCAUCAGGUGAUUGCAAAUUACACCUGACAAAGUGUUAUCUGCCCUGAGAGUGGCUACUCCCUAGAACCUGAGAGUGCUUAGCCCAGCCCAACAUAGCUCUUCUGGGCUGGACUUAUUCUUUCCCUCUGACCCUAAACAAGGAAAAAGCACACCCUUAUUUCUGUCUUUCCCUUCUUGGGAAUCUUGACAUUCUUUUGGGAGGUGUGGAUGAUGAGUUUAGGAAAGAGAAAGGGGAAAGGUAUUUACUGAACAUCCUCCACUGCCAUUAUGAUAAUAGUACAAACUGCUCUCAUUUACUGAGCAUGUAUCAUGGGCCAAGCACUAAGCUACUUGCAUCACUUCUUUUUAUACUCACAGCAUUGCUAAGAUAGAUACAGUAACUAAGGCUUAGUAGGUUCAGAGAUUCACUUACAGUCACACCACUAAUAAGAACUGGAAUUUGAAUCCUGGUCAGUGUGAUUCUUCAGCCUUUAUUCUUACCUAUUAUACCAUCUUAUCUUCCUGUAGUAAGAAUGUGUAAUAUUCACAUCACCUUCAUUGUAUGGACAAGAUCCUCAUUUUAUGAAUAAAGAAAUGGAGAAACAUUCAGUAGACAUGGGAGAAACUUGUCCCAGGUCACAAAGCUGGAAGAUGUCAGAGAUGGAAUUCAACGCCAAGCUUUCCUGACUCCAAAACCCAUGGUCUUUUCAUAGUAUUUCACAUUUUUCCCCAUACAGUGACAGGUGAUGUGGAUCUGUGUGUGUGGCGCGGGUGUGGGGAGACAGUGAUGUGGGAUAUGGAGGGGGUGGAUGUGUACACAGGCAUGUAGUUUGGCUAAAGGGAUGCAUCAAGGCAAGAAGUCAGACCAUGAUUACAGUUUGGGGCCAGGGAAAGGAACGGAAAAGUUUGAUGGCUGCAGACUGUGUCAAAUAACCCAGGAGUACAGAGAGGGAAAGAUGUGAUCGGGGACAAGACAAGAUCGGGGACACAUGCCUGGUUGUGAGCAGAGAGAAGAUAGCAAGGAAGGAAGCUGGGAAGCCUAGUCCUGUUCUUGGAGCAGCUUCUGCCCAGAGCCGGGAACGUGCUUGGCUCUUUGUGAUGCUCACAUUCUUGGACUCACCGCCAAGUCUGAAGACGGAGCCUGCCCUUCUCCCUCCCACCCAGCUCUGGUUCCUCCACCAUUUCCAACCCCACAAAGACCCUGGGAAAGCAGCUCUAAUUAUCCUGGUCAAGCCAUAAUGGCAGAAAGCCUAGGGAUAGAAUGUGCUAAAAAGAAGGGACACAGAGGUAGCUCAGAGUCACCAGCCAGUCUUGGCUACAGGGUACCCGAAGCUUGCACCCCAUUAUGGGAACUGGGGCUCAAAAGAAAAUGGGGUAUGUGGGUCACAGGGCAGAUGAUCUGCUCUGGAGAGGGUCUCCCUGUGGUGGGAAACUGCUGCUGAGUCCCCCCCACCCCCUUCCCCAGCAGGCCCCAUCACACAGCUCCAUGCUACAGAUGUUUCCUCUCUUUCUAGGGGUCACCAACAGGUCACCAAGGCUCUGCUGACUCAUACGGAUCAGCUGAUCUUCAGCAACAGCCUUGGGGGACCUCAGACAGUCCUCCCCUCCCACCAUGGAGAUGAAUGCCUCAGGGGCUCAGCGUUGCACAGCAUUAACACACACACACUCUCUCUCUCUCUCUCUCUCUCUCCCUCACACACACACAUACACACACACACACACACACACACAGGCCCCAAGCAGAGUUGAACAAAUCUGGGUUUUAAUUCUGCCACUUAUUAGCCCUCCUAUCUUAGAGAAGUUUCUUAACUUUUCAAGCCUUUGUCUUGUCCUGGUAACUGGGAUUUGUGAAUGCCUGGCAUGAUCUAGGCUUACAAU